rnacentral:lncRNA from 1 species
ACAAACUAUAUAAAGCAAGAUUUCGUAAAUGAAACUCCAUAAUGUCUACACUCAAAGAUUGACUACAAGACAUAGCCCUCCAUUAGUAGGAGAGAACUCAUGGAAAUUAGAAUUUCAAAACAAACAAAAAGGUAGAAAACUUCAUAAUGAAGCAAGAAGGCAAGCUUUCUUUCCUUUCAAAACUACCUCAUCGAGUGUGAUAUUGAACCUGUUAAAAAUUAUAAAAACCUCUUUUUUAAUCCCAAAAUAUCCCUCUCUAUAAGCUUUAAAUGGGCACGAAUUUUGUUCAAGUCCGGCAACUAAUGAGAGAGUUAUGGUCCUUUUAGUUAGAAGAUGUAUUGGGUUUUGACAGCAACGACCCUGUAGCUUGGGAAGUCCGUUUCACAUUGAUUUAAGUUAAGUUUGAUGAAGCUUAUGAAACACAAAAUUAUAGUAGUUUAUCUUAUCU